rnacentral:misc_RNA from 1 species
AUUGUUCGAAAUAUAUAUUUCGUAUUAUGAUUAUAUUGGUUACUUAUAAUAAAGUAUAUUAUUAUCCGUACAAAUUUGUU